GGGCCGCUAGUCUAGCCCGGCUAUGAUGUCUCGUUUACACCGAGAAUUAUACCGAGUUGGUCGCUGGUUCAAAUCCGGCGCGGCCCACCA
rnacentral:tRNA from 1 species